rnacentral:rRNA from 1 species
CUACGGGCGGCAGCAGUGGGGAAUAUUGCACAAUGGGCGCAAGCCUGAUGCAGCCAUGCCGCGUGUAUGAAGAAGGCCUUCGGGUUGUAAAGUACUUUCAGCGGGGAGGAAGGGAGUAAAGUUAAUACCUUUGCUCAUUGACGUUACCCGCAGAAGAAGCACCGGCUAACUCCGUGCCAGCGGCCGCGGCAAUACGGAGGGUGCAAGCGUUAAUCGGAAUUACUGGGCGUAAAGCGCACGCAGGCGGUUUGUUAAGUCAGAUGUGAAAUCCCCGGGCUCAACCUGGGAACUGCAUCUGAUACUGGCAAGCUUGAGUCUCGUAGAGGGGGGUAGAAUUCCAGGUGUAGCGGUGAAAUGCGUAGAGAUCUGGAGGAAUACCGGUGGCGAAGGCGGCCCCCUGGACGAAGACUGACGCUCAGGUGCGAAAGCGUGGGGAGCAAACAGGAUUAGAUACCCCCGUAGUC